rnacentral:rRNA from 1 species
CCUACGGGUGGCAGCAGUCGAGAAUCAUUCACAAUGGGGGAAACCCUGAUGGUGCGACGCCGCGUGGGGGAAUGAAGGUCUUCGGAUUGUAAACCCCUGUCAUGUGGGAGCAAAUUAAAAAGAUAGUACCACAAGAGGAAGAGACGGCUAACUCUGGACCAGCAGCCGCGGUAAUACAGAGGUCUCAAGCGUUGUUCGGAAGCACUGGGCGUAAAGCGUGCGUAGGCUGUUUUGUAAGUCGUGAGUGAAAGGCGCGGGCUCAACCCGGGGACGGCAUAUGAUACUGGGAGACUAGAGUGAAGGAGGGGGAAGCGGAAUUCUCGGUGUAGCAGUGAAAUGCGUAGAUAUCGAGAGGAACACUCGUGGCGAAGGCGGGUUCCUGGACAUUAACUGACGCUGAGGCACGAAGGCCAGGGGAGCGAAAGGGAUUAGAUACCCUAGUAGUC